UACGUAGGGCGCAAGCGUUGUCCGGAAUUAUUGGGCGUAAAGAGCUCGUAGGCGGCCUGUCGCGUCUGCUGUGAAAUCCCGGGGCUCAACCCCCGGGCCUGCAGUGGAUACGGGCUGGCUGGAGGCAGGCAGGGGAGAACGGAAUUCCUGGUGUAGCGGUGAAAUGACGCAGAUAUCAGGAGGAACACCGGUGGCGAAGGCGGUUCUCUGGGCCUGUUCUGACGCUGAGGAGCGAAAGCGUGGGGAGCGAACAGG
rnacentral:rRNA from 1 species